rnacentral:rRNA from 1 species
UGGGGAAUUUUUCGCAAUGGGGGCAACCUGACGAAGCAAUGCCGCGUGGAUGAAGAAGGCCUUCGGGUUGUAAAGUCCUUUCGUGGGGGACGAAAAGGUGGUUCCUAAUACGAACUGCUGUUGACGUGAACCCAAGAAGAAGCACCGGCUAACUCCGUGCCAGCAGCCGCGGUAAUACGGGGGGUGCAGCGUUAAUCGGAAUCACUGGGCGUAAAGGGUGUACGUAGGCGGUACGUUAGGUCUGUCGUGAAAUCCCGGGCUCACCUGGGAAUGGCGGUAGAAACCGGCGCACUAGAGUAUGGGAGAGGGUGGUGGAAUCCAGGUGUAGCGGUGAAAUGCGUAGAGAUCUGGAGGAACAUCAGUGGCGAAGGCGGCCACCUGGCCAAUACUGACGCUGAGGCACGAAAGCGUGGGGAGCAAACA